rnacentral:tRNA from 1 species
GGAGGACUUAGCUUAAUUAAAGUGUUCGAUUUGCGUUCGAGAGAUGCGAGAUGAAAUCUUGUAGUUCUUA